rnacentral:rRNA from 1 species
UAUAACGCGUGAGAAUCUGCCCUUAGGACGGGGACAACAGCUGGAAACGGCUGCUAAUACCCGAUGUGCCGAGAGGUGAAACAUUUAUGGCCUGAGGAUGAGCUCGCGUCUGAUUAGCUAGUUGGUGGGGUAAGAGCCUACCAAGGCGACGAUCAGUAGCUGGUCUGAGAGGAUGAUCAGCCACACUGGGACUGAGACACGGCCCAGACUCCUACGGGAGGCAGCAGUGGGGAAUUUUCCGCAAUGGGCGCAAGCCUGACGGAGCAAGACCGCGUGCGGGAGGACGGCCUAUUGGUUGUAAACCGCUUUUGAUAGGGAAGAAGUACUGACGGUACCUAUCGAAUCAGCAUCGGCUAACUCCGUGCCAGCAGCCGCGGUAAUACGGAGGAUGCAAGCGUUAUCCGGAAUUAUUGGGCGUAAAGCGUCCGUAGGUGGUUGUUCAAGUCUGCUGUUAAAGCGUGCGGCUUAACCGCAUACCAGCAGUGGAAACUGGACGACUAGAGUGCGGUAGGGGUCAGGGGAAUUCCCAGUGUAGCGGUGAAAUGCGUAGAUACGGGAAGAACACCGGUGGCGAAAGCGCCUGACUGGACCUGCACUGACACUGAAGGACCAAAGCUAGGGUAGCGAACGGGUUAUAAUACCCCCAGUUCUUCACCCUU